rnacentral:rRNA from 1 species
GAUGAACGCUGGCGGCGUGCCUAAUACAUGCAAGUCGAACGAAACUUCUUUAUCACCGAGUGCUUGCACUCACCGAUAAAGAGUUGAGUGGCGAACGGGUGAGUAACACGUGGGCAACCUGCCCAAAAGAGGGGGAUAACACUUGGAAACAGGUGCUAAUACCGCAUAACCAUAGUUACCGCAUGGUAACUAUGUAAAAGGUGGCUAUACUACCGCUUUUGGAUGGGCCCGCGGCGCAUUAGCUAGUUGGUAGGGUAAAGGCUUACCAAGGCAAUGAUGCGUAACCGAAUUGAGAGGUUGAUCGGCCACAUUGGGACUGAGACACGGCCCAAACUCCUACGGGAGGCAGCAGUAGGGAAUCUUCCACAAUGGGCGAAAGCCUGAUGGAGCAACGCCGCGUGGGUGAAGAAGGUCUUCGGAUCGUAAAACCCUGUUGUUAGAGAAGAAAGUGCGUGAGAGUAACUGUUCACGUUUCGACGGUAUCUAACCAGAAAGCCACGGCUAACUACGUG